rnacentral:rRNA from 1 species
AUGGCCUUUUGGUACUCAAUAAAAGGUCUGGCCUGCCCACUGACAAUAAAGGGCUGCAGUAAUUUGACUGUACAAAGGUAGCACAAUCAUUAGUCUUUUAAUUGUGGACUGGUAUGAAAGGUUAGACAAGUAGAUACUGUCUUAGACUUAAUUAUUGAAUUUGAUUUUUCCGUUAAAAAGCGGAGAUACAACUAAAAGACAAGAAGACCCUUAUAAACUUAAUUUGAAUGGUUUAUUGCUUUUUUUAUUAAGAACAUAAAAUAGUUUAUUCGAGUUUAGUUGGGGCGACGGAUAUAGAGUAUCUAAAGUAUUAAUAAAUAAAUAUUAUUAAAUUGAGCUUGUGAGCCUGUCGUAUGGCUAAUAGAAUAAGUUACUAAAGGGAUAACAGCGUGAUGUGCUCUGAGAGUUCUUAUUGACGAGUAUGUUUGCGA